rnacentral:rRNA from 1 species
GAGUUACUACUCCAAACCCAUUGUGAACCUUACCUAUGUUCUGUUGCCUCGGCGGCGUGGUCAGCGCCCCCUCUGAAAAGAGGACGAUGCCCUCCCGCCGGCAGCACCAAACUCUUUGAAUUUUACAGCGGAUUACAGUUCUGAUUUGAAAACAAAAAACAAGUUAAAACUUUCAACAACGGAUCUCUUGGUUCUGGCAUCGAUGAAGAACGCAGCGAAAUGCGAUAAGUAAUGUGAAUUGCAGAAUUCAGUGAAUCAUCGAAUCUUUGAACGCACAUUGCGCCCGGCAGUAAUCUGCCGGGCAUGCCUGUCCGAGCGUCAUUUCAACCCUCGAACCUCCGUUUCCUCAGGGAAGCUCAGGGUCGGUGUUGGGGCGCUACGGCGAGUCUUCGCGACCCUCCGUAGGCCCUGAAAUACAGUGGCGGUCCCGCCGCGGUUGCCUUCUGCGUAGUAAGUCUCUUUUGCAAGCUCGCAUUGGGUCCCGGCGGAGGCCUGCCGUCAAACCACCUAUAACUCCAGAUGGUUUGACCUCGGAUCAGGUAGGGUUACCCGCUGAACUUAAGCAU